rnacentral:rRNA from 1 species
CCAUGCAUGUCUAAGUACAAGCCCUUGCUCGGCUAGACUGCGGAUGGCUCAUUAAAUCAGUUAUGGUUCCUUAGAUCGUACACAUCCUACUUGGAUAACUGUGGCAAUUCUAGAGCUAAUACAUGCAAACCAGCUCCGACCCGUCAGAGGGGAAGAGCGCUUUUGUUAGCCUAAAGCCAAACCGGGCUCGCCCGUC